rnacentral:rRNA from 1 species
UACGUAGGGUGCGAGCGUUGUCCGGAAUUAUUGGGCGUAAAGAGCUUGUAGGCGGUCUGUCGCGUCUGCUGUGAAAAUCCGGGGCUCAACCCCGGACUUGCAGUGGGUACGGGCAGACUAGAGUGUGGUAGGGGAGACUGGAAUUCCUGGUGUAGCGGUGAAAUGCGCAGAUAUCAGGAGGAACACCGGUGGCGAAGGCGGUUCUCUGGGCCUUACCUGACACUGAGGAGCGAAAGCGUGGGGAGCGAACAGG